rnacentral:rRNA from 1 species
GUAGGGAAUAUUGGACAAUGGGCGAAAGCCUGAUCCAGCCAUGCCGCGUGAUAGAUGAAGGCCCUCUGGGUUGUAAAUAUCUUUUAUCUGGGAAGAAACUCCUCUAUUCUUAGAGGCCUGACGGUACCAGAGGAAUAAGCACCGGCUAACUCCGUGCCAGCAGCCGCGGUAAUACGGAGGGUGCAAGCGUUAUCCGGAUUCACUGGGUUUAAAGGGUGCGUAGGCGGGUUGAUAAGUCAGUGGUGAAAGCUCCGGGCUUAACUUGGAAACUGCCAUUGAUACUGUCAGUCUUGAAUGUCGUAGAGGUAAACGGAAUGUUGCAUGUAGCGGUGAAAUGCUUAGAUAUGUUACAGAACACCAAUUGCGAAGGCAGCUUACUAUGCGAUAAUUGACGCUGAGGCACGAAAGCGUGGGGAGCAAACAGGAUUAGAUACCCUUGUAGUCC